rnacentral:misc_RNA from 1 species
UCUUUUUUUUAUGUAUGUUACAUCAGAACUUUUGACCGGGUGGACCGAUUUUGACAAAUUUUGUUUUAAUCGAAAGGUGGUGUGUGCCAAUCGGUCCCAUUUAAAUUUAUUUGAGAUCUAACAACUACUUUUCGAGCUAUAUCUAAUAAUUUGUUGUAUUACACCGCAUAACUUUCUACUGGAUGUACCGAUUUUGAUAAUUCUUUUUUUGUUUGAAAGGGGAUAUCCCUAGUUUGGUACCGUGAUAAGGAAACCACGAUCUGAUGAUGGGAUCCCAGAGAAAUCGAGGGAAACUCUCGAAAAUCCGUAAUAACUUUUUACUGGGUGUACCGAUUUUGAUAAUUUUUAAUUUAAUCGAAAGCUGAUGUUUAUCAUGUGGUCG